AUUCAGCUGAUGAGUCCCAAAUGGUAGGAAAUGCGCAUCCUGGAU
rnacentral:hammerhead_ribozyme from 1 species